rnacentral:rRNA from 1 species
UGGGGAAUUUUGGACAAUGGGCGAAAGCCUGAUCCAGCAAUGCCGCGUGUGUGAAGAAGGCCUUCGGGUUGUAAAGCACUUUUGUCCGGAAAGAAAUCCUUGGCUCUAAUACAGUCGGGGGAUGACGGUACCGGAAGAAUAAGCACCGGCUAACUACGUGCCAGCAGCCGCGGUAAUACGUAGGGUGCAAGCGUUAAUCGGAAUUACUGGGCGUAAAGCGUGCGCAGGCGGUUUGCUAAGACCGAUGUGAAAUCCCCGGGCUCAACCUGGGAACUGCAUUGGUGACUGGCAGGCUAGAGUAUGGCAGAGGGGGGUAGAAUUCCACGUGUAGCAGUGAAAUGCGUAGAGAUGUGGAGGAAUACCGAUGGCGAAGGCAGCCCCCUGGGCCAAAUACUGACGCUCAUGCACGAAAAGCGUGGGGAGCAAAACAGGAUUAGAUACCCUGGUAGUCCACGCCCUAAAACGAUGUCAACUAGUUGUUGGGGAUUCAUUUCCUUAGUAACGUAGCUAAACGCGUGAAGUUGACCGCCUGGGGAGUAACGGUCGCAAGAUUAAAAACUCAAAAUGAAUUGACGGGGUCAUAGCUGUUUCCU